CAGUCGUGGGAGUUGCUGCAGAAGCAAGCGAAAAGCCAGAUGAGCGCUUCUAAACUUAGAGAGAGGGAGAGCGCCUCAUCUCUUCCAUUUUCCAGGUAUUCCUGAGAUGAUUUAUUGGAGCUCAAAGCUUUGGGAGAGUUGGGGCCUUCCAUUCCCUCCAGUAAAUACUUGUUUUUCUUCCACCGCUGAGGCAAAUGCGGGGUGGCUGAUCACCUGGCAGACAUCUUAGGAAACAGGAGCACCGGUCUGGGAAACUGCUGGCCUGGCCUAACACCUGGCGCUGUGGUGCAGGCUCUGGAAGGAAGAGGCCUCCCCUGGGCCACUGUGCGCUGUCUCUGUCCAUCAGACCAGUGAGGAGGAAGAGGGCUUGGGGACUGGAGUCAGCCCUGACCUUGUGUCGCGUCCCUUCCACACACCGCUGUGGUACCUUGGGCAAGAGGGCAGCCACUGAGGAUUCUUGAGGAGAGAGAGACCAUAGAAUGAAUGAAAGAGUUGGAAAGACUUUAAAGCUCUGGGAGGCUGAAUCCUUUAUUUCGCUGGAAGAAAAACUGAAUGCCAAGAGGGCCUCACUUUCCCCAAAGCUAUACAGCCAUCAGGGGCAAUGCUGGGAUUCCCCCAUGGAUCUCUUGACUCCUAAUACAGUGCUCUUUCUGAUAUGCCAUCUGGCUCCAUAAUGAACAUUGUGUUCCAGGAAAAUCAGUCUGCGCUGAACAGGAUGGAAUUGGGGCAGGACGUCCAGUGAGGAGGACAUUGAGGCAGUAGAGCAGUUGAUUGCCGAAUGACCACCUACCCUGACUUAAAAGAUCAACCUCAGGGAGGAUUGGAGCUUUCUAGAGUCUCUUGGGACAGCAGAAGCACAGGCCGGGUUGGACUGAAUCUUUAAGUGGACAUGAGGGACAAAGUACCUCCUGUUGGUAAACAUCUCACCACCAACCCACUGUGGUGGCUAAAAUCCCACCUUUAGUCCCAGCAACAUAUGAGCAUGUCACCAGGAGGUCUUCACAGGCCUGUCUGCCACCU
rnacentral:lncRNA from 1 species